CUUCAUAAACAGCUUGUCAACCACCUCGGUAGCUUGCUAGCCAACUACCCGAAAUAUUCAAGCUGUUUAUACGCUUUCGGUUUAUUUUAGCUACUGUGUUUAGACACACGUCUGUCGUAUCUACUUGUUAACCUAUUUAAUUUAAUAUUACGUUAUUUUGUAUUAGUCAGCUAUAGUAGCUGGCUGGUUAAGUUAGCACUAAUCCCCGAACAUGAGCUCCCAGAACUACUCCCCUCCUGUUAAAGAAGAGGUCUACUGGAUGGAGAAAGAAGCUCUGGGGCUGAACUUUUUCGUGAAAGAGGAGAAGGAAGAUGAGGAUGUUACUGUGAAAAAAAGAAGUAGAGGUUGAAGCUGUUACCAUGAAAGAAGAAGAGAAAGACGUUUCAGUGAAAGAGGAGGAUGUUACAGUAAAAUAAGAGGAGGAAGGGAAAGAGGAUGCAUUUUGUUGAGUGAAGAAGGGGCGCUUACUGUCCCAUUGAAAGAUGAAGAGGAGGAGAUAGGAUAUCUGAUUAACACCAGAGAGAGGCCAGACUCUCGCUAUGACAGCAGGAAGAGUCCUUCAAGGGAACCAGACCCAGAGACGCCCAAACCAGCGAGACAACACCACUGCUCCCACUGUGAAAAGAGAUUUUCCGGAUCAGGGGACUUAAAGCUCAUGAGAGGACACACACAGGAAAAAAACCUUUCCAAUGUUCCCAGUGUGGAAAGAGUUUUAUUCAGUUAGGAAGCCUGAAGGAGCAUGAGUGGACGCACACAGGAGAAAAGCCUUUCCAAUGUUCCCAGUGUAGAAAGAGUUUUUCCGUGUUAGCUACCCUGAAAAGGCAUGGGAGAAUACACACAGAAGAACAUCCGGACACUGAAGAUGUAGAUGUCGAUUAAGGCAGCCGUCUGCACCUCUGAUUCAGAGGGGUUGGGUUAAAUCUCAAUCCAAGAUAGCGUAUCAGUGCAGACGUGUUUUGUUCUCCUCUCGUGUACUUUUGUAUUUUUUCGUCUUUUUUGUAUAUAUUUCAAUUUUAUUUUCAAUCUCUUCUACAUUUUAAUUCAACUAUACCUUCCGGUAACCUGCCUCACCCAAUGUGAUACGGAACCGCUAUUAUUUUAAAUUUGUAGACCUUAUAGCAAGAACCACCUAGCCAACAGAAGCUAAUUAGCUACAAGCUAUUUAGUCAUUCUUAGCCACUGCUAGCGGCCUUUACCUUCUGCACAGAUACCAGCCCUUUUUAAAAAUAUUUUUAAAAUAUUUUUUUAGCCUGGAUAAUACUCGCCAGCCGACCAUUAACGGACUGUCUCUCCACUACAAUGCCGGAUUCCUGCCGAAAUCCCUGGACCAUUACUCCUUAUCUUCACAGCUAGCUAGCACCCACCGAGUUACCCAAGUACCGAAGCUAUCCCUGAGGCCCACCUCCCGGCCUACUCAGUUGUUCACCCGGACUCCACCCAAAUACUGCUAGAACACACUACUCCACCGGAUCCUUGCCGUAAGCUCUGGACCUUGGCACCGGAUCACCGCUGCUACCGAGUGGCUAUAGUGGCUAACGCCCCUGCCUCGACGCUAGCACCAGUUAGCCGUGAGCCAUGCGCAUCUCCCAGCUAGAAAACUAAAUUAUUACAACUACAAUACCUCUUUCGCCAUCUGUCUUGGAUCCUUAGUCAACACGGCAACCUGCCGCACCACCACAUUUACAUUACAUUUACAUUUAAGUCAUUUAGCAGACGCUCUUAUCCAAAGCGACUUACAAAUUGGUGAAUUCACGACUGGUCUGCCGACGAAUACUCCAUCCGCUGUGCCUUCAACCGGCCUCCGUCGGAGCAGACGCUUCUACUAGCCCCGAGCUACUAACUUUAAACGUGCUAGCGUAGUAGCGACUACUCCGCGGAUUCCCUGUUCCAUCUAUUGCUGCCCCCUGGACCCUAUGAUCACUUGGCUACAUAGCUGAUGCCUGCUGGACUGUCCAUUAAUCACGGUACUCCAUUCUGUUUAUUUAUUUAUUUUUAUUAUUUCAUUUUUUAUCUGUCGGCCCCAGCCGCGAAAUCAGGCCCUGUGUGUAGUUAACCGACCCUCUCUGCCCAUUCAUCGCCAUUUUACCUGUUGUUGUUUUAGCUGGUUAGCCGUUGUCUCACCCAUUGUCUUAGUUAGCGCUCCAAAUCAACACCUGUGAUUACUUUAUGUCUCGCUGUAUGUCUUUCUUAUAUGUCAAUAUGCCUUGUAUACUGUUGUUUAGGUUAGUUAUUGUUUUAGUUUACAAUGGAGCCCCUAGUUCCACUCAUACCUCUGAUACUUCCUUUGUCCCACCUCCCACACAUGCGGCGACCUCACUCAUUAUAACCAGAUUAUCCAGAGAUACAAGCUCUUUUAUCAUCACUCAGUGCCUGGGCUUACCUCCGCUGUACCCGCACCCCACCAUACCCCUGCCUGCACAUUAUGCCCUGAAUCAAUUCUACCACGCCCAGAUAUCUGCUCCUUUUACUCUUUGUCCUCAACGCUCUAGGCAACCAGUUUUGAUAGCGUUUAGCCAUAUCAUCAUCCUACCGUACCCUCAACCCAAGCCCUGCGUGUCCCCAGGCGCUCUCAUUUGUUGAGUUCUGUGAUCGAAAAAGCCUUGGUUUCAUGCAUGCCAAUAUCAGAAGCCUCCUCCCUAAGUUUGUUUUACUCACUGCAUUAGCACACUCCGCCAACCCUGAUGUCCUUGCCGUGUCUGAAUCCUGGCUUAGGAAGGCCACCAACAAUUCUGAGAUUUCCAUACCCAAUUCCAACAUUUUCCGUCAAGAUAGAACUGCCAAAGGGGGAGGAGUUGCAAUCUACUGCAGAGAGAGCCUGCAAAGUUAUGUCAUACUUUCCAGGUCUGUACCAAAACAGUUUGAACUUCUAAUUUGAAAAAUUAAUCUCCAGAAAUAAGUCUCACUGUUGCCGCCUGCUAUCAACCCCCCUUCGCUCCCAGCUGUGUCCUGGACACCAUUUGUGAAUUGAUCGCUCCCCAUCUAGCUUCAGAGUUUGUUCUGUUAGGUGACCUAAACUGGGAUAUGCUUAACAUCCCGGCAGUCCUACAAUCUAAGCUGGAUGCCCUCAAUCUCACACAAAUCAUCAAUGAACCCACCAUGUACAACCCUAAAUCUGUAUACAUGGGCACCCUCAGACAUUAUCCUGACGAACUUGCCCUCCAAAUACACCUCCGCUGUUUUCAAUCAGGAUCUCAGCGAUCACUGCCUCAUUGCCUGUAUCCGCUAUGGGUCUGCGGUCAAACGACCACCCCUCAUCACUGUCAAACGCUCCCUAAAACACUUCUGCGAGCAGGCCUUUCUCAUCGACCUGGCCCGGGUAUCCUGGAAGGAUAUUGACCUCAUCCCGUCAGUCGAGGAUGCCUGGUCAUUCUUUAAAAGUAAUUUCCUCACCAUCUUAGAUAAGCAUGCUCCGUUCAAAAAAUGCAGAACUAAGAACAGAUAUAGCCCUUGGUUCACUCCAGACCUGACUGCCCUUGAUCAGCACAAAAACAUCCUGUGGCGGACUGCCAGAGCAUCGAAUAGUCCCCGCGAUAUGCAACUGUUCAGGGAAGUCAGGAACCAAUACACACAGUCAGUCAGGAAAGCAAAGGCUAGCUUUUUCAAGCAGAAAUUCACCACUGAUAAAUCCAUGAUAAUCGAAAAUUUCAAUAAGCAUUUCUCAACGGCUGGCCUUGCCUUCCUCCUGGCUUCUCCAACUCUAGCCAACAGCUCCGCCCCCCCCCGCAGCUACUCGCCCAAUUCUCGCCAGGUUCUCCUUCACCCAAAUCCAGAUAGCUGAUGUUCUGAAAGAGUUGCAAAACCUGGACUAGUACAAAUCAGCUGGGCUAGACAAUCUGGACCCUCUCGUUCUAAAAUUAUCCGCCUCCACUGUGGCAACCCCUAUUACUCGUCUGCUCAACCUCUGUUUAGUAUCGUCCGAGAUUCCUAAAGAUUGGAACGCUUCUGCGGUCAUCCCCCUCGUCAAAAGGGGUGACACUUUAGACCCAAACUAUUACAGACCUAUAUCCAUCCUGCCCUGCCUUUCUAAAGUCUUCGAAAGCCAAGUUAACAAACAGAUCACUGACCAUUUCGUAUCCCAUCGCACCUUCUCUGCUGUGUAAUCCAGUUUCCGAGCUGGUCACGGGUGCACCUCAGCCACGCUCAAGGUACUAAACGAUAUCAUAACCGCCAUCGAUAAAAGACAGUACUGUGCAGCCGUCUUCAUCAACCUUGCCCAGGCUUUUGACUCUGUCAAUCACCGUAUUCUUAUCGGCAGACUCAUUAUUAGCCUUGGUUUCUCGAAUGACUGCCUCGCCUGGUUCACCAACUACUUCUCAGACAGAAUUCAGUGUGUCAAAUCAGAGGUUCUGUCGUCUGGACCUCUGGCAGUCUCUAUGGGGUACCACAGGGUUCAAUUCUCGGACCGACUCUUUUCUCUGUAUACACCAACGAUGUUGCUCUUGCUGCGGGUGAUUCCUUGAUCCACCUCUACGCAUACAACACAAUUCUGUAUACAUCUGGCCCUUCUUUGGACAUUGUGUUAAUAACCUCUUGAAGCUAGGGGGCACUAUUUUUAUGUUUGGAAAAAUAACGUUCCCAAAGUAAACGGCCUAUUUCUCAGGACCAGAUGCUAUAAUAUGCAUAUAAUUGACAGAUUAGGAUAGAAAACUCUAAAGUUUCCAAAACUGUCAAAAUAUUGUCUGUGAGUAUAACACAACUGAUAUUGCAGGCGAAACCCUGAGAAAAAUCAAACCAGGAAGUGGCUUCUAUUUUGAAAACUCCAUGUUCCAUAGCCUCCCAUUGCUCCAUUUAAAGGGAUAUCAACCAGAUUCCUUUUCCUAUCGCUUCCUCAAGGUGUCAACAGUCUUCAGACAUAGUUUCAGGCUUUUAUUUUGAAAAAUGAGCCAGAACGAUAACAUCACGUCAAGUGGUCACAUGUGUUUUGCUCACGCAAAAGAAUUUGGACAGCUAUUGUUUUUCCCUCUCCUACUGUGAAAGACAUUUGCGGUUGAUAUAUUAUCGAUUAUAUAUUUUAAAAACUACCUGAGGAUUGAUUAUAAAAAACGUUUGACAUGUUUCUGUGGACAUUACAGGUAUUAUUUGGAAUUUGUCUGCGUUGUCGUGUCCGCUCUUUCCUGUGGAUUUCUGAACAAUGCGCCAAACAAACUGAGGUGUUUUGGAUAUAAAAAUAAUCUUUAUGGAACAAAGGGAACAUUUGUUGUGUAACUGGGAGGCUCAUGACUGAAAACAUCCGAAGAUCAAAGGUCUCAUUUACAACUGCGAACUUGUUCUCAACUGGCCUACCUGUAAUGCUCGUCUGUGAUGGAAGAAGAGGAGACCAAUGCGCAGUGUGGACAGAGACGUGGGUCAUCUGGGGUGCUUCAACAACCUCAUGAUGCUGACAAGGCAGAGAAGAGUCACUCCACAUUAGAACACCUCAAGAAACAUCUGCAGAGAUCCACAGGGAAGAGAACUCACUGCUCCUCUGACUGUGGGAAGAGAUUCACCUCCUCAGCAGCCAUUAAAAUUCAUCAGAGAACACACACAGGAGAGAACCCUUAUUGCUGUACUCAAUGUGGGAAGAGUUUUACUCAGCUAAGCAGCCUGAAAUCACACCAGAGAAUACACACUGGAGAACACAACCGUAUAGCUGUGAUGAAUGUGGGAAAAGUUUCACUUAUUCAUCCAGCCUGAUAGCACACCAGAGAACACACACAGGAGAGAAACAUUAUAUCUGUGAUCAAUGUCGGAAGAGUUUUACUCAGAAAUGCACCCUGCUGUCACACACAGGAGAGAAAGAAGAUAAAUCAUAUAGCUGUGAUCAAUGUGGGAAAAGUUUUGGUCAAUCUGGCCACCUGACAGUACACCAGAGAACACACACAGGAGAGAAAUCUCAGAGCUCAGAGAAAUCUCAGAGCUGUGACCAGAGAAAUGAUCUCUGAUCAAAUAUUAGAAAAUAUAUACAUGGAGUUUUUUCAUGAUUUCAAUGAGUUAAUGUCACAGCAUUGUAUUAGGAGUAUUUUAAUAGUGUCACAAUGUAGAAGCCGAAACUUUUACCCCCUUAUCAAUUGAUUUCAGCAUGAUAUGGAUAUUAGCCUCGGGGAAAAUCCGGGCUCUGAAAUGGAAGUGUACUAUUUAUGUGAUUUAACAAAAUUUGACUAACAAAAAAAUAAUUGUAUUACACUUACCACGUUGGCGACCCACUUGGAUCAAAAUGUAGCUAGCUGUUUUCUACAAAUUGUCCUCUAACCAGGGAUGUACACAUUACUCCCAGAUUCCGUGUGUUUUUUGAGCUGUUAAGUUUUAACAGGACGUGCCACCUCAUCUCCCUCCUCUCGCACAAAUGAUUUUAGCAUGAUAUCGAUGAGUGAUGACAAAUAAGUGUUGCAUUCCCUUGUUCAGCGACCCCUACAUUUAAAUGCAUCACUCCCAAAUGUAGCCGACUCUUCUGCAGGUUGUCCUCUGACCAUUGAGGUAAAAUAUAU